rnacentral:lncRNA from 1 species
UCAUGAAUAUUUUAUUCUUUGGGUUAUAUUACAAUACUCAAUGUUUUCUUUUUUUUUUUAGUUACUCAGAUUGUUCCAGCUUUGCCCAUUGGAAACUCCUUUUGCAGCCCUUUGCCUAUCAUUGUAACAUAAAUCUGUCUUGUCCUCAGGGCAGUAGUGAGAAGGUCAAACCUCACUGAGAUGGUGAAUCAUCUUCCUCCGAGGACCUGGGCUCUGGGCUUUACUCUACAUGGUAAAGGUCCAUCCUCUGACGUACGCUGUUGGGGUUUGGAUCAGGCUCCCAGUUGCAGGUUAGUUAAGAAAUCUUCACUUCUCCCUGGCAGGGUUGGGCUCUUUGUUAAUUGUAU